rnacentral:rRNA from 1 species
GACGAACGCUGGCGGCGUGCCUAAUACAUGCAAGUAGAACGCACAGUUUAUACCGUAGCUUGCUACACCAUAGACUGUGAGUUGCGAACGGGUGAGUGACGCGUAGGUAACCUGCCUGGUAGCGGGGGAUAACUAUUGGAAACGAUAGCUAAUACCGCAUAAUAUUGAUUAUUGCAUGAUAAUUAAUUGAAAGGUGCAAUUGCACCACUACCAGAUGGACCUGCGUUGUAUUAGCUAGUAGGUGAGGUAACGGCUCACCUAGGCGACGAUACAUAGCCGACCUGAGAGGGUGAUCGGCCACACUGGGACUGAGACACGGCCCAGACUCCUACGGGAGGCAGCAGUAGGGAAUCUUCGGCAAUGGACGAAAGUCUGACCGAGCAACGCCGCGUGAGUGAAGAAGGUUUUCGGAUCGUAAAGCUCUGUUGUAAGAGAAGAACGGGUGUGAGAGUGGAAAGUUCACACUGUGACGGUAUCUUACCAGAAAGGGACGGCUAACUACGUG